rnacentral:lncRNA from 1 species
UGGCUGAGGAUGACAAGUCCCUGCCACCUUCCCCAUCUACCUGGCUGCUGCAGGUGAGUUGGAAGGGAGCCCAGGGUGAGGCAAAGGCUCCUCGUCUCCAGUGCACACCUCUCCCCGCCACUCCCUGCCCAUCCCCGCUUCUUCCCCAACACCCCCCCCACCCCGCCAGCAGCUCCAGCAGCCAGCACACUUCCACUUGGCCCUUCCCUCUACCCAUCUCUCUGUGUUUCUUUAGGCAUCAGACGGCUCCGAGCCUCACUCUCCCCAGCUGCAGAACGGGGUGAUUUCGGCUUCUCCCACGGGGCUGCUGUGGGGCUCCAGUUAGACCACCACCACCGUGCCCGGCCAUGUGACUCAUAGCGCCGUCUGAAGGAUUCUUCAUCCUGGGCGACUCGGAAUCACCAUGCCUCCUGGGUUUGCUCUUCUUGCUACAAAAGGCUCCCCAGGCCUUCGCCCCAGCUCUGGAGACGCUCCUCAGCCUGGUUCAUUUGGAGCGAGCCCGGCCCCUCUGUGUUGGGAAACAGGGGUCCCUUCCAGCCUCCGGCCCUGGGCAGAGGGAGGAGGAGGCCUCGGGAUGCAGAGGCAGGAGGGCGUGGAUUAGAAACCCAUCACAGAAAUGACUUUCUUAUCACGCUACGACCUGAAUUGACAGAACCAACUCUCGAAAUUGAAUUGUCUCCCCCCUCGGCUGCCUCAGCUCCUAGUUCCUUCCCCACUGCCACCUCCACCUCUGAAAGCCCUGCUGGGAGAGACCAAGAGACAGAGAUGCAGGAGAGAAGCAAAGAUGACUCAACUGAGGCACAGAGGCGUUCAGGAACCUACUCAGCAUCUGGACAGUACCCACGAUGAACAUUCCAGGCCUCUGCAGGUCCAGAGUGGAAGGUGCAGAAGUGAGAGGGCCGAGCUCCACCGGUUCGUGAUCCCUAGUGACCCUGGAACGAGGUUCUUUACCUGAGUUACCUCAUCUCUUCUUCUGGACAGCCCAUAAGCCAGCGCAGCUCCCGUGCCCACUUUGCAGACUGAGAAACCCAGUCUCUUGUGCAGCCCUUCAUGCAGAGUCUUAAUGAGGACCUGGUUGAGCUGGGAUUCAAACCCAAGUUAGUCUGGAGUUCCCGCUGUGGCGUAGCGGGUUAAGAAUCUGAUGGCAGUGGCUCGGGUCACGGUGGGGGCGCGGGUUCAUUUCCCGACCCCUUAACAGUGGGUUAAAGGGAUCCAGCAUCGCUGCAGCUGCGGCUUGGAUUCAGUCGCUGGCCCAAGAACCUCCAUGUGCCAAGGAUGCGGCCAUAAAAAACCAAAACAGAACAAACCCCCCAUGUCUGUCUGAAUCCAGAAUCCGAGCUCUUAACAGCGCGCUCCUCCUUGCAGGGGCAGAAGUCAGGAAGUCCCUGCCACAGAGGCCCUGGAAGCAGGGCCUAGAGUGCGACGCCAGUGGACAAAGCCUGGGCUGGGGACCAGGUGACCUGGGUACAUCUCUCCUGGGCCCCACACUCACUGAUACUUCCCUGAGUUCACGGGCAAAAUGGAGAUGAUAAUAAUAGGGCCUUCUCUCUGGGGCGAUUAUCUUACAGGAACGAGUUUUCAGAAGCACGUAUCACAGUGCCUGACACAUAGUAGGUGCCCCGUCAAAGCUCGCCAUCAUUUCUGUGGAUGAGUUCACAGCAGCCUCUUAAGAGCGUGGGAGCAGCGUGCGUGAGGCGCUUUGCCGUGUGCCCUGGUCUCGGAGACUCCCCGAACUGAAAGCGUCGAGGGCAAGGCCCCCGUGUUUCAGGUGGGGAACCUGGGGCCCAGGCUUGCAGCAAGCGAGUGGCAGGGCCAGGCCUCGGCCUUGGGGGCUCCCUGCAGCCUCCCUGCUCCAGCCAGGGUGGCAGUUCUCUUCCCAUCUCCUUUUGCCCUGUGUGUCCCCAUCCGUCCAUCCAGGCGUCCCGGCCGUAGGAGGCCAGCUGGACGGCUGACCUGGCAGCCCUUUCUGAGUCCAGCCGCUGACAGGAACUUGCCUGGAUAAAUGCAAAGAGACCCCCCUCUGGAGGCUGCUCUUGCGGUGUCCCCAUCCAAAUGUUAAUUUUGCCAAGGCCUUGAUAAAUCUUCCUGUCGUCCCACCUGCCUGAGACAAAGAUUUCAUCUUAUUGAGAGGUGACAUUCCUGCCCUUUGGGACGAGCUAUCAAUUUAAGGCAGCGCCCAGCGUGGCGCGUGAUGAAGAACCAGGUCCCAGUGAACCCCCUUCUGCGCCCCCACCCCCAUCCUUCCCUUAAGCCCCGCGGGGCCAGCCCCCUUGAGAUAUUUUUACCUGCCCUUCUAGAAGAAGUGCGGGGACCCCACCCCUCUUGCCUGGCUCUCACCGUUUCCCUGCACACUUGCUGACGUCCACCUGUCAGCACCUGAACCUCUUUGCCUGAGGCUUGCUCAGGCCUUUAGAGCCACUUGGCUGCCUGGACGGUGGAUCAGAAUAACAUCCCCAGGGUAGCUCUUAACUACUGGCUCUUGGGCGCUGGAGUAGAAGCACCUUUGUGGGGGUGGAUACUCUGCAGCAUGAGUUCCACGCUGGCUCCCAGAAUUCCCCCACGGAGUUAAGCUCCAGUGGCCCACAGUGGUCAUGGGCUUGAUCCUCAGCCCUCGUUGGCUGUCUCCCUACCCCCCCUCAACUCCCCACCUCCUGCUUCCCAAUCAACACCUUGCCCUUAGUUCCUUUUCUUCAGGUCUCUUUCUGCAGGGCUGGGCCAGGGAUUGAACCUGGGUCCCAGCACUCCAGAAAUGCUGCCAGUCCUUUUGCACCACAGCGGGGACUCCUUACCAAACAUUUUUUAGCAGCGCAAGUUGUAAUGCCCUGGAGUCAGCCAUGGAACACAGCGGAGGUCUGACAUUUCUUGAAUGCCUACUGUGUGACAGGGACUGUGUGUUUCUUGCCUCUGGA